rnacentral:rRNA from 1 species
GUACACUCCUGCGGGAGGCAGCAGUGGGGAAUAUUGGACAAUGGGCGCAAGCCUGAUCCAGCCAUGCCGCGUGAGUGAUGAAGGCCCUAGGGUUGUAAAGCUCUUUCACCGGUGAAGAUAAUGACGGUAACCGGAGAAGAAGCCCCGGCUAACUUCGUGCCAGCAGCCGCGGUAAUACGAAGGGGGCUAGCGUUGUUCGGAUUUACUGGGCGUAAAGCGCACGUAGGCGGACUAUUAAGUCAGGGGUGAAAUCCCGGGGCUCAACCCCGGAACUGCCUUUGAUACUGGUAGUCUUGAGUUCGAGAGAGGUGAGUGGAAUUCCGAGUGUAGAGGUGAAAUUCGUAGAUAUUCGGAGGAACACCAGUGGCGAAGGCGGCUCACUGGCUCGAUACUGACGCUGAGGUGCGAAAGCGUGGGGGGCAAACAGGAUUAGAUACCCUUGUAGUCCCAUGA